CGCCGGGGGUUGGCAUGGGCGCAGCCUGAUCCAGCAAUGCCGCGUGUGUGAAGAAGGCCUUCGGGUUGUAAAGCACUUUUAUCAGGAGCGAAAUACCACGGGCUAAUACCUUGUGGGGCUGACGGUACCUGAGGAAUAAGCACCGGCUAACUUCGUGCCAGCAGCCGCGGUAAUUA
rnacentral:rRNA from 1 species